GUCUUACACAAUUCACUCAACCUUUGUGAUUUAAUCAACGCGUUAUUCCCGAGGCACUGUUCAUGCUCAGUUCACUUAGCACGUGACUUUCGUGACAACAUAUUGUUAUUGUUAUAGCCAGUCUGGGUUUUCAGAGAGGCGGGUCAACAAAAUGUUUUCCAGUUGCUAUGGUGGCAUUAUUGCAUAGAUGAGAGACCGUCCAUAAUUCAUUCACAACAUCGACUGACGUGGUUUCAGAUUUGGAGCAGGAAGGGUGACCGUGUGUACAUACAGAUUAUGGACUAAGGUAUUGCCAGAUCUGGAGUAUAAAUGGUGUGUAUGUUUUCAUAUUUUCUUUGUCUGGAAUAUCUAAGGUACCACUAAGGUACCCCUAGAAUUAAUAUAGGUUUCUGUUUUUACACAUAAGUUUCAGUUUUUUUCCUAAAUACUAAAAUGGGUAGUCACGGAAACAUACGUUUAGGCAAUAAAAUAA
rnacentral:lncRNA from 1 species